rnacentral:rRNA from 1 species
UCCGGUGCNUAGCGCGGUGGUCCCACCUGACCCCAUGCCGAACUCAGAAGUGAAACGCCGUAGCGCCGAUGGUAGUGUGGGGUCUCCCCAUGCGAGAGUAGGGAACUGCCAGGC